rnacentral:tRNA from 1 species
GGGGGGUUAGCUCAGCGGUAGAGCGCCUGUUUUACACGCAGGAUGUCGCAGGUUCGAAACCUGCACCCCCCACCA